UACGUAGGUGGCAAGCGUUAUCCGGAAUUAUUGGGCGUAAAGCGCGCGCAGGCGGUUUCUUAAGUCCGAUGUGAAAGCCCGGGGCUCAACCCCGGAAUGGCAUUGGAAACUGGGAAGCUUGAGUACAGUAGAGGUAAGUGGAAUUCCAAGUGUAGCGGUGAAAUGCGUAGAGAUAUGGAGGAACACCGGUGGCGAAGGCGGCUUACUGGACGAAAACUGACGCUGAGGCGCGAAAGCGUGGGGAGCAAACAGG
rnacentral:rRNA from 1 species